rnacentral:lncRNA from 1 species
UGACUUAUAGUAAUUUUUUACUUAAUUUUCAAAUAUAUAAAUUUUGUUUCAAAAAUCUUAAAAAUUUUGUUCCCAAAUUUACGAUCAAAUUUAAACUAUUUAACUCUCGAAAAGUAAAAAAAUGUCACAUAAAUUGAGAUAGAGGGAGUAAUAUAUUCCAUAUAGGUGUCACAGAGGAUUGAGAAGUGUCUCAUUGACUAACUGAAGCGCAUCUCAAUAAUACCGUGUCGAUAUAUAAAUAUAUUGUAAUGGUGUCAUGAAGGUUGAGAAGUGCUUCAUGAAGGACUGAAGCAUAUCUUAAUGAUACCAUGUCAGUAUAUAAAUAUAUAUUGUGAUGGUAUUUUAGAGGUAUCACUGAAGGAUUGAAACAGACAUCAACGAUAUCAUGUCAGCAUAUAGGUAUACUAUGAUAAUAUCAUUACGGACUAAAGCAACCCCUGAUGAUACCAUGAUAAUAUAUAGAUAUACUAUGAUAGUAUUAUGGAUGACUGGGAAGUGUCUCAUUUUAAGGAUUGAAGCAGUCCUUCAUGAUACCAUGUCAACAUAUAGAUAUAUUGUAAUCACGUCAUGGAGGGCUGAUAAGUGUCUUAAUGAAGAAUGAUACUAUGCUCGCAUAUAAAUAUGCUAUGAUAGUAUAUUGGAGUGUCUCAUAAAAGGAUGAAAGUAGUUUUAUCUGAUACCAUGCCAAUAUAUAGAUAUAUUGUAAUUGUCUCAUAGAAGACUGAUGAGUAUCUUAUUAGAGGAUGAU